rnacentral:rRNA from 1 species
AUUGAACGCUGGCGGCAUGCCUUACACAUGCAAGUCGAACGGUAACAGAUCUUCGGAUGCUGACGAGUGGCGAACGGGUGAGUAAUACAUCGGAACGUGCCUAGUAGUGGGGGAUAACUACUCGAAAGAGUGGCUAAUACCGCAUGAGAUCUACGGAUGAAAGCAGGGGAUCGAAAGACCUUGUGCUACUAAAGCGGCUGAUGGCAGAUUAGGUAGUUGGUGGGAUAAAAGCUUACCAAGCCGACGAUCUGUAGCUGGUCUGGGAGGACGAUCAGCCACACUGGGACUGAGACACGGCCCAGACUCCUACGGGAGGCAGCAGUGGGGAAUUUUGGACAAUGGGCGAAAGCCUGAUCCAGCAAUGCCGCGUGCAGGAUGAAGGCCUUCGGGUUGUAAACUGCUUUUGUACGGAACGAAAAGCCCUGGGUUAUUACCCUGGGGUCAUGACGGUACCGUAAGAAUAAGCACCGGCUAACUACGUGCCAGCCGCCGCCGUAAUAC